rnacentral:rRNA from 1 species
GUGCCAGCAGCCGCGGUAAUACGUAGGGUGCAAGCGUUAAUCGGAAUUACUGGGCGUAAAGCGUGCGCAGGCGGUUUUGUAAGUCUGUCGUGAAAGCCCCGGGCUCAACCUGGGAAUUGCGAUGGAGACUGCAAGGCUUGAAUCUGGCAGAGGGGGGUAGAAUUCCACGUGUAGCAGUGAAAUGCGUAGAGAUGUGGAGGAACACCGAUGGCGAAGGCAGCCCCCUGGGUCAAGAUUGACGCUCAUACACGAAAGCGUGGGGAGCAAACAGGAUUAGAU